rnacentral:rRNA from 1 species
AAAACCUUGCGCUUUUGGAGCGGCCGAUGCCUGAUUAGCUUGUUGGUAAGGUAAAAGCUUACCAAGGCUUCGAUCAGUAGCUGGUCUGAGAGGACGACCAGCCACACUGGGACUGAGACACGGCCCAGACUCCUACGGGAGGCAGCAGUGGGGAAUUUUGGACAAUGGGGGCAACCCUGAUCCAGCCAUGCCGCGUGAGUGAAGAAGGCCUUCGGGUUGUAAAGCUCUUUCAGCCGGAACGAAACGGUUACGGAUAACACCCGUGACUACUGACGGUACCGGAAGAAGAAGCACCGGCUAACUACGUGCCAGCAGCCGCGGUAAUACGUAGGGUGCGAGCGUUAAUCGGAAUUACUGGGCGUAAAGCGUGCGCAGGUGGUUUUGUAAGUCAGAUGUGAAAGCCCCGGGCUCAACCUGGGAACU